rnacentral:lncRNA from 1 species
AUAAUUUUGUCUUUUUUAAUUUCAUAAUUUUUUAUAUGUAGAAUGUCCAUUUUGCCCGGGCCCUUAGAAUUAUUUACAGCAAAUAAAUAAACUCAAGAAGAAAAUUAAAAACCAAAAUAAAAAAAAAACCAAUAAAUAAAGUCCAAUUUGUAACAGUCCAGUAAGUCCAUUAAAUACAAAGCCGAUUGGCUUAAUAUUUUUACAGACCCGAAUACAAAGGCCCAAAUGCAAAACAAUAUAUAUAUAACCCCAACCUAAUGGCCCAAUGGCCCAAUCCUAAAACGAGACCAAAUGGCCUAAAUUUUGGUUUCAGAAACUGAAACCCUAGGACCAGCGCCGUAGCUUCGUCAACAAGGGUCCCCAGCUCAUCAUUGCCACGUCCGCAGUCCUCUCCGUAUGGUGGUUUACCUGCAAAAAGAAAUAGAAUAACAGCAAAGAUGGGAGCAAAAAUGUACAGCAAAUGACAGAGAUUAACAAAUAGCAGUGAAUAAAAGAAAAUAUAAAAAUUAUUUUGUAAUUUCAUUUUUUCGGCUAUAUAAAGCCGAUUGUAAAUAGUGUACAGGGAUCUUUUUCACAUAUUUUACGUAUACAUACAAAUACAAAAAAGAAAAUAUACUCAGAAAGAAAAGGUGAUUCUCGAUUGAUUUUAGUUUUCAAGCUUUUUUUAUUAUUUUUAUUUAUUUUAAUGUAUGAAAAGAAGAAAAGAAAGGAAUACUUACCUCUAUGUUUAGCCUUCGUCGAUUGGGCUUUUCGUUGGAAACAAGGACCUUUGGAGCGUAAUCGGCCACCGGAUAUGGUGGUGGUUCGGCGACGGCGUGAUUUUUGGGUCAAAACCCUAGCAGAAAAAUGGGGGCAUUCUUUUUUUUUUUUAAAAAAGGGUCAAGAAACCAAAUGCAGUUUUGUAAAAAAAUUUAGAUUUAUGUAACUUAUGAAACGGCACCGUUUUUGUGCCAUAGUUCUGGAGGCCAAAUGGCGCCGUUUAGGCGCCAAACCUAUGCGAUCCGACCCACUGCCCCCAGGAUUGGCGUGUUUCUACGGUGAAGGGAUAUUGCGUGAUUAGUCCCUCCUUUUCGCGUUGUCAUUUGAUUGAGUCCUUUUUCUAUUUCUUUUGUAUUUUCUUAUUUUUUUCCCUGGAAUUUGCGCGCCAUUUCAACUUAGUCCGCGC